rnacentral:rRNA from 1 species
CCUACGGGGGGCAGCAGUGAGGAAUAUUGGUCAAUGGGCGGAAGCCUGAACCAGCCAAGUCGCGUGAGGGAUUAAGGCCCUGCGGGUCGUAAACCUCUUUUGCCGGGGAGCAGAGGUCCGGACGUGUCCGGGCCGGGAGAGGACCCGGAGAAAAAGCAGCGGCUAACUCCGUGCCAGCAGCCGCGGUACUACGGAGGAGGCGAGCGUUAGCGGGAUUUAUUGGGUUUACAGGGUGCGUAGGCGGGCAUUUAAGCCGGCGGUCAAAUGUCGGGGCUCAACCCCGGCCUGCCGUCGGAACUGGGUGCCUUGAGUGGGCGAGCAGUAUGCGGAAUGCGUGGUGUCGCGGUGAACUGCAUAGAUAUCACGCAGAACCCCGCUUGCGACGGCAGCAUACCGGCGCCCUCCUGACGCUGAGGCACGAAAGUGCGGGUAUCGAACAGGAUUAGAUACCCUAGUAGUC